rnacentral:tRNA from 1 species
AGAGAAUUGACUGAGUCUGGUUUAAAGUGAUAAGCUUGAGUCUUAUUUGACUAAAAUAUAGUCACAUCCGUUCAAAUCGGAUAUUCUCUG